GGGAUAUUGCACAAUGGGGGAAACCCUGAUGCAGCAAUGCCGCGUGAGGGAAGACGGUCUUCGGAUUGUAAACCUAAGUUGUCAGGGACGAAAGAAAUGACGGUACCUGAAGAGAAAGCUCCUGCUAACUACGUGCCAGCAGCCGCGGUAAUACGUAGGGAGCGAGCGUUGUCCGGAAUUACUGGGUGUAAAGGGUGCGUAGGCGGGUUUGCAAGUCAGACGUGAAAUACCGGGGCUCAACUCCGGGGCUGCGUUUGAAACUGCAAAUCUUGAGUGAAGUAGAGGUAGGCGGAAUUCCUAGUGUAGCGGUGAAAUGCGUAGAUAUUAGGAGGAACACCAGUGGCGAAGGCGGCCUACUGGGCUUUAACUGACGCUGAGGCACGAAAGCGUGGGGAGCAAACA
rnacentral:rRNA from 1 species